GAUGAACGCUGGCGGCGUGCCUAAUACAUGCAAGUCGAGCGAACAGACGAGGAGCUUGCUCCUCUGACGUUGGCGGCGGACGGGUGAGUAACACGUGGAUAACCUACCUAUAAGACUGGGAUAACUUCGGGAAACCGGAGCUAAUACCGGAUAAUAUAUUGAACCGCAUGGUUCAAUAGUGAAAGACGGUUUUGCUGUCACUUAUAGAUGGAUCCGCGCCGCAUUAGCUAGUUGGUAAGGUAACGGCUUACCAAGGCAACGAUGCGUAGCCGACCUGAGAGGGUGAUAGGCCACACUGGAACUGAGACACGGUCCAGACUCCUAAGGGAGGCAGCAGUAGGGAAUCUUCCGCAAUGGGCGAAAGCAUGACGGAGCAACGCCGCGUGAGUGAUGAAGGUCUUCGGAUCGUAAAACUCUGUUAUUAGGGAAGAACAAAUGUGUAAGUAACUAUGCACGUCUUGACGGUACCUAAUCAGAAAGCCACGGCUAACUACGUG
rnacentral:rRNA from 1 species